rnacentral:rRNA from 1 species
AGAGUUUGAUCAUGGCUCAGAUUGAACGCUGGCGGUAGGCUUAACACAUGCAAGUCGUGCGAGAAAGUAUCUUCGGAUAUGAGUAGAGCGGCGGACGGGUGAGUAACGCGUAGGAAUCUACCUAGUAGAAGGGGAUAGCCCGGGGAAACCCGGAUUAAUACCGUAUACCUCCUUCGGGAGAAAGAAGGCCUCUCUUUGAAGCUUUCGCUACUAGAUGAGCCUGCGUAAGAUUAGCUUGUUGGUGAGGUAAAGGCUCACCAAGGCUACGAUCUUUAGCUGGUCUGAGAGGACGAUCAGCCACAUUGGGACUGAGACACGGCCCAGACUCCUACGGGAGGCAGCAGUGGGGAAUAUUGGACAAUGGGCGCAAGCCUGAUCCAGCCAUACCGCGUGUGUGAAGAAGGCCUUCGGGUUGUAAAGCACUUUAAGCAGGGAGAAAAAGUUAUAAGUUAAUACCUUAUAACCCUGAUGUUACCUGCAGAAUAAGCACCGGCUAAUUCCGUGCCAGCAGCCGCGGUAAUACGGAAGGUGCAAGCGUUAAUCGGAAUUACUGGGCGUAAAGCGCGCGUAGGUGGUUUGUUAAGUUGGAUGUGAAAGCCCUGGGCUCAACCUAGGAACUGCAUCCAAAACUAACUCACUAGAGUACGAUAGAGGGAGGUAGAAUUCAUAGUGUAGCGGUGGAAUGCGUAGAUAUUAUGAAGAAUACCAGUGGCGAAGGCGGCCUCCUGGAUCUGUAC